rnacentral:misc_RNA from 1 species
GGAUGGAUCAUGUAACAAAAUCAUGCGAUGGCGCGCCGUCGGCUUCAUCUUUCCAAAAAAGAGAUCUGGCCACGCGUCUGCCUCAUUCGCAUAUACACACCCACUUGCACGUGGUUUUUGUUCAUGGGCGUAUCGAGCCAUCGAUUGCCCAUGUGUUUAUUUAUUUCACAUAACUCCAUGUUUUAUCAUUACUAAUUCGAAUUGAAACAAAUUUGAACCAAAACAACUUUCAACAACGGAUGUCUUGGUUCCCGCAUCGAUGAAGAACGCCGCGAAAUGCGAUACUUAAUGUGAACCGCAACGCGCGAAUCAUCAAGGUUUCGAACGCACAUUGCGCUGUUCCAGUCUUCUGGGACAGCAUGCCUGUUUGAGCAUCGUUUCAAAACUCAACCCCAACCAACCAACCAACCGUUGGUUGAUUGGGUGUUGGACGCUGAGUGUCCUACCAAUCGAUACACAAAGAGAGAGUGGUAGGUCGCUUGAAAUGGAGAUCCCUUUCUGGAUGCUAGCACCGUUCGUGCUCGCUUCUUGUGCUGUGACGAAGCGGUCAUCUUUGACUGUUUCCCCUUCACAUGAUUGCGCGGCAUGGAGCUGGUAUCAUUCUAAGGAAAGGUCCGAGAACCACAUGCUCGAUCGUCGUCGAUGAUCGAUAUUUUUCAUCGCGAUCUCAAAUCAGGUAAGACCACCCGCUGAACUUAAGCAUAUCAAUAAGCGGAGGAAAAGAAACUAACUAGGAAGCCCUCAGUAACGGCGAGUGAAGCGGGCUAAGCUCAAUAUUCAAAUCUGCGUCCUUUGGGCGUCGAAUUGUAGUUUAGAGGGGCGUUUUCGGUGGUGCGCCGGACAUAAGUGUUCAGGAACGGACCGUCAGAGAGGGUGAUAACCCCGUCUGUGGCCCGGCGAGAUGGCACUGCCGUAUCGAAGCAAACGUUUCCUACGAGUCGGGUUGUUUGGGAAUACAGCCUUAAUUGGGUGGUAGAUGCCAUCUAAAGCUAACCUAUCUGCGGGAGACCGAUAGCGAACAAGUAGCGUGAGCGAAAGAUGAAAAGCACUUUGGAAAGAGAGAGAAAAGGACCUGAAAUUGUUGAAAGGGAAGGGAUUGAAAUCAGUGGUGACCCGAUGAAAUUCGCUUGGUUGCGGUGGUGCCGUGGGGCGGCCGUGAAGUUCAAAGCUCACACCGUUUUGCGUCGUUGCUGUCGGAACUGGGUUACUUUUCGUUGUGGUCGGCCAAUAUCAGUUUGCGCAUUCACGCAGGGAACAAGACUGAUGGGAAGGUAGGGAAGAUGCUGCGUACGUGGCUCUUCCUGUUAUAGCCUGUCGGGGAUUCCGCUGCGGCAGACUGAGGAAAGGCCAUUGUGGCCGCCAUGCACGCGCCUCGGCGAGGCCGUCGGUGGGAAGCCUGUCAAAGGGUUAUGCCCGGCUGAACGGCUGUCGGCGUGCACAGGAUAUUGGCGAAUGGAUUUCCAUCCACCCGUCUUGAAACACGGACCAAGGAGUCCACCGUCUACGCGAGUACGCGGGUGGUAAACCCCAGUGCGAAAUGAAAGUGAAGGCGUCAGUGGGCGCUGAGAUGGGACGGCGCUCGCGAAGAGUGCCCGCACCACCGGCCGAUCUGGAUUCCUCUGUGAUGAAAGAUUUGAGCAAGAGCGUAGCCGAUGGGACCCGAAAGAUGGUGAACUUUGCCUGAGUAGGUUGAAGUCAGUGGAAACACUGAUGGAGGACCGUCGAGAUACUGACGUGCAAAUCGUUCUUCAGACUUGGGUAAAGGGGCGAAAGACUAAUCGAACCAUCUAGUAGCUGGUUCCCUC